rnacentral:lncRNA from 1 species
UUCUAUUUCAUUAUAUAUUGUUAUUUCUCUAUUUCUACGGAUUCUAUCUAAGAUAAAUGAGUGAGAAGAUUGAAGUUUAUUUUAAUGCCACUGAAAAAGCAAGUCGUCUCCUAUGGUGUUUUAUCUGUUAAGUUAUCAUCUUGGAGACUUGUAGUUAAUUAAGGAACAUUAGAAAACACCAGAUGCCAUUAAAUUAAGGAGCAUCUGUUGUAUCACUCCUCAUUUGCUCAAUUGAGUAGAAGUAUACUUAUGGUCCUAAAGAAAGCAUGGAAGUGCCUUUUUUCCAUUGGGAAUAAAAAGACAGUGUGCUGUUGCUGUAGAAAAGAUUCAUGACAGUGAACUGAUUGUCUAACAAACAAAUGAGAGGGAAAAUUGCAGUUAAUUUUGAUGCUGCAGAAACAACCGAUGCUUUUGACAUCUUCGCCUUGCAACAUUAUGCAGUUAAUUUUGGCCCUGAGAAUGGGAGGCAAUUGGAAAUUAAUUUGGAAGCCACUGAAACAACAUACUGUAUGCAGUGGUAUCAUUCCUAGAUUUGGUUUGCUCAAUACACUGAUGAACUUUAGAACGCUACUUUUUACUAAGGUGAGAGAACAUUACAUAAUCAAUUUAAGUUAGAUUCCUGACCGUUACUAUUAAAUUAUGUAGUUUUUUUUUUCACGGUGGCGGU